rnacentral:sRNA from 1 species
AUGGCUGUCGUCAGCUCGUGUCGUGAGAUGUUGGGUUAAGUCCCGCAACGAGCGCAACCCUUGUCCUAUGUUGCCAGCGGAUAAUGCCGGGGACUCGUAGGAGACUGCCGGGGUCAACUCGGAGGAAGGUGGGGACGACGUCAAGUCAUCAUGGCCCUUAUGGGCAGGGCUACACACGUGCUACAAUGGCCGGUACAGAGGGCAGCGAUGUCGCAAGGCGGAGCAAAUCUCAGAAAACCGGUCGUAGUCCGGAUUGCAGUCUGCAACUCGACUGCAUGAAGUUGGAAUCGCUAGUAAUCGCGGAUCAGAAUGCCGCGGUGAAUACGUUCCCGGGCCUUGUACACACCGCCCGUCACACCAUGGGAGUGGGCUGUACCAGAAGUAGGUAGUCUAACCUUCGGGAGGACGCUUACCACGGUGUGGUUCACGACUGGGGUGAAGUCGUAACAAGGUAGCCCUAGGGGAACCUGGGGCUGGAUCACCUCCUUAAAAGAAGUGUGAAUCUUUCGUUUUAAGCGCCCACACAAUCUACUUAAUCAGUUCACCGACCGCGGGUCUGUAGCUCAGUUGGUUAGAGCGCACCCCUGAUAAGGGUGAGGUCGGAAGUUCAACUCUUCCCAGACCCACCAGGUUGCCUCCGCAAUAGAGGUUUACCAAUCGGGGCCAUAGCUCAGAUGGGAGAGCACCUGCUUUGCAAGCAGGGGGUCGGCGGUUCGAUCCCGCCUGGCUCCACCAGGUGAUAAACGAUAGUGAUUUAGGCCACUAUCGUUUAUUUCCUGACGAAGUCGGGUCAGCGGACGCUCUUUAACAAUUUAGUAGUAGUGAUAUACGACGGUGAAGUCGAGCCUGUUUCAGGCGAGGCUUUACUGGGUAUACCAGCAUUUAUCAGUAGAUGUAUUCGAUAUAUCCCAAAGGGAUCAGUCUUUUUGGGGUUAUAUGAUCAAGCGACCAAGCGCGCAUGGUGGAUGCCUAGGUGGUAAGAGGCGAUGAAGGACGUUGUAGCCUGCGAUAAGCCUCGGGGAGCCGGCAAACAGGCUUUGAUCCGAGGAUUUCCGAAUGGGGAAACCCGG